GACGAACGCUGGCGGCGUGCCUAAUACAUGCAAGUUGAGCGCUGAAGGUUGGUACUUGUUCCGACUGGAUGAGCAGCGAACGGGUGAGUAACGCGUGGGGAAUCUGCCUUUGAGCGGGGGACAACAUUUGGAAACGAAUGCUAAUACCGCAUAAAAACUUUAAACACAAGUUUUAAGUUUGAAAGAUGCAAUUGCAUCACUCAAAGAUGAUCCCGCGUUGUAUUAGCUAGUUGGUGAGGUAAAGGCUCACCAAGGCGAUGAUACAUAAGCGACCUGGGAGGGUGAUCGGCCACAUUGGGACUGAGACACGGCCCAAACUCCUACGGGAGGCAGCAGUAGGGAAUCUUCGGCAAUGGACGAAAGUCUGACCGAGCAACGCCGCGUGAGUGAAGAAGGUUUUCGGAUCGGAAAACUCUGGUGGUAGAGAAGAACGUUGGUGAGAGGGGAAAGCUCAUCAAGUGACGGUAACUACCCAGAAAGGGACGGCUAACUACGUG
rnacentral:rRNA from 1 species